CUAUCUUCAACAUCUUAAGCCAUCAAUAAAGGGGAGAGAAAACUGCACAAAUAAAUAUGAUUGAUACAUAUUUUUCUGGCACACAUUUAUCAUAGUAUCAUUACUAUGUUUCAUGACAAUAGAUUUUAUUAGGCAUGUGCAAUUUGUUUCGUUCCGAAUGUGAAUUUGGACGAAUUUCGGGCAAUUCGGACAUUCUGAUGCUUGU